rnacentral:rRNA from 1 species
AGAGUUUGAUCAUGGCUCAGGAUGAACGCUAGCUACAGGCUUAACACAUGCAAGUCGAGGGGGAAACGAUAUUGGAAGCUUGCUUCCGAUAGGCGUCGACCGGCGCACGGGUGAGUAACGCGUAUCCAACCUGCCCACCACUUGGGGAUAACCUUGCGAAAGUAAGACUAAUACCCAAUGAUAUCUCUAGAAGACAUCUGAAAGAGAUUAAAGAUUUAUCGGUGAUGGAGUGGGGAUGCGUCUGAUUAGCUUGUUGGCGGGGUAACGGCCCACCAAGGCGACGAUCAGGUAGGGGUUCUGAGGGGAAGGUCCCCCACAUUGGAACUGAGACACGGUCCAAACUCCUACGGGAGGCAGCA